GGGCUUGAAGUAGUGCUAAGCGUCAUGAAGUUAGAGAGCCACCAACCUUUAAGGCUUAUGAGCAUUGCGAAGAUAGUGAGCUCUUUGUGUUCUUGACACUGAGGGGAAACUCUAGGUUGUUGAGCGCUAUCCUAUCUAUUUGGUGGGCACUGAGCGGUAAAAAGUGACGUUGAGCGCCACUUCUCUGUUGUAGGUUUGAGCUUUUAUUUCUAUUAAUUCGCAAGGUGAGUGACUUGCUCGCUGGGGACCAAUCUAGUAUUAGGCCUCUAUUUUGGGUUUUCCUUUAAGUUUUUUGUACUUUCAAAAGUUGAUUUGGUUUAGAAUGUUUUAUACAGAUUGAUCAUAUUAAUGUGGAUAUUGAGUAUGUUAAUGGAUGAUGAAUAUGGUGGUGUGUAUGAUUCUACUUCAAGUAUGAUAUGAGAGUGAUAAUGAAUUCUAGUUGUUGGUAUAAUAUCGAUGCUUGGCGUAAUUCCAUGGACCUCAUGGUGAGACUUCAUGGUGGUGUUCAAUAGUUAUGUGUUUGGCAUAAUUUCAUAUAUAAGUAGAUUUUAUGGUGGUGUUCAGUAGUGUGAUGUGUUGAUAUAGGGACUCAG
rnacentral:lncRNA from 1 species